UGGCAGGACGAGUUUGGCAGGACG
rnacentral:siRNA from 1 species